rnacentral:tRNA from 1 species
AGCAACAAGAAUUAUACAUUCACCUUUGACUUACAAGACCAAUGCUCUUUAUUAAGCUAUUGUUGC